rnacentral:rRNA from 1 species
AGAAUAAGGGUUUGACUCCGGAGAGGGAGCCUGAGAAACGGCUACCACUUCUAAGGAAGGCAGCAGGCGCGCAAAUUACCCAUUCUCGGCACGAGGAGGUAGUGACGAAAAAUACCAAGCUGGGAUCCAUUGGGUUCCGGCAUUGGAAUGAGAACAAUAUAAAUCUUUUAACGAGGAUCUAGUGGAGGGCAAGUCUGGUGCCAGCAGCCGCGGUAAUUCCAGCUCCGCAAGUGUAUAUCUAUGUUGCUGCGGUUAAAAAGCUCGUAGUUGGAUCUGCGUGUUUAGCGUCCGGUUCGACUUUUGGUCGUUACUGGAACGCGACACAGAUGUGCUGGUUUGCCGUUGAUGCUCUUAACCGGGUGUCAGUGGCGGCUAGCGAGUUUACUUUGAAAAAAUUAGAGUGCUCAAAACAGGCGUUUCGCCUGAAUAUUUCUGCAUGGAAUAAUAGAAUAGGACUUCGAUUCUAUUCUGUUGGUUUUCGGAAUGCGAAGUAAUGAUUAAGAGGGACAGACGGGGGCAUUCGUACUGCGACGUUAGAGGUGAAAUUCUUGGAUCGUCGCAAGACGUACUACUGCGAAGGCAUUUGCCAAGAAUGUUUUCAUUAAUCAAGAACGAAAGUUAUGGGUUCGAAGGCGAUCAGAUACCGCCCUAGUCAUAACCGUAAACGAUUCAAACUGGGCGCCCGACGGUGUUUUUAUUGACCCGUCGGGAACCCUCCCGGAAACGAAAGUGUUCGUGUUCCGGGGGAAAUAUGUCUGCAAAGAGGAAACUUAAAGGAAUUGACGGAAGGGCACCACCAGGGGUGGAGCCUGCGGCUUAAUUUGACCCAACACGGGGAAACUCACCCGGCCCGGACACCGUAAGGAUUGACAGAUUGAGAGCUCUUUCUUGAUUCGGUGGGUGGUGGUGCAUGGCCGUUCUUAGUUGGUGGAGUGAUUUGUCUGGUUUAUUCCGAUAACGAACGAGACUCUGGCCUGCUAACUAGUGUUCACAUCUUUACGUGUGCUUCGCUUCUUAGAGGGACAGGCGGCUUCCAGCCGCAUGAAGAAGAGCAAUAACAGGUCUGUGAUGCCCUUAGAUGUCCGGGGCUGCACGCGCGCUACACUGAAAGAAUCAGCGUGUACGUUACCUGGCUCGAAAGAGUCGGGUAAUCCGGUGAAAAUCUUUCGUGAUUGGGAUCGGGACUUGCAAUUAUUUCCCUUGAACGAGGAAUCCCUAGUAAGUGCGGGUCAUCAGCUCGCGCUGAUUACGUCCCUGCCCUUUGUACACACCGCCCGUCGCUGCCCGGAACUGAGCCGUUUCGAGAAAAAUGGGGACUGUCUACUUGAGGUCUUCACGGACUUUUUGUAAAUGGAAACCGCUUUAAUCGCAGCGGCUUGAACCGGGCAAAAGUCGUAACAAGGUU